rnacentral:rRNA from 1 species
UAGUCAUACGCUCGUCUCAAAGAUUAAGCCAUGCAUGUGUAAGUAUAAAUAUUUGACUUUGAAACUGCGAAUGGCUCAUUAUAUCAGUUAUAGUUUAUUUGAUGAAAAGUACUACUUGGAUAACCGUAGUAAUUCUAGAGCUAAUACAUGAUAAAAUCCUCGACUUUGAAGAGGUGUAUUUAUUAGAAUGAAACCAAGAGACUUCGGUCUAUUUGUGAGUAAUAAUAACUAAUCGUAUCGCAUGCUUAGGUAGCGAUAUGUCUUUCAAGUUUCUGCCCUAUCAGCUUUGGAUGGUAGUGUAUUGGACUACCAUGGCAGUAACGGGUAACGAAGAAUUUGGGUUCGAUUUCGGAGAGGGAGCCUGAGAGAUGGCUACCACAUCCAAGGAAGGCAGCAGGCGCGUAAAUUACCCAAUCCUGACAUAGGGAGGUAGUGACAAUAAAUCACAAUGCGGAACUAUUAGUUUUGCAAUUGGAUUGAGAACAAUGUACAAAUGUUAUCGAUAAACAAUUGGAGGGCAAGUCUGGUGCCAGCAGCCGC